rnacentral:rRNA from 1 species
ACAAUGCGCGAAAGCGUGAUGGGGUUAGCCCGAGUGCCGUCCGAAAAGGAUGGCUUUUCCUUGGUGUAAAAACCCAAGGGAAUAAAGGGGGGGCAAGACUGGUGUCAGCCGCCGCGGUAAUACCAGCCCCCUGAGUGGUAAGGACGAUUAUUUGGCUUAAAGCGUCCGUAGCCGGCUUAGUGAGUCUUUUGUUAAAUCCAAUGAUUCAAUCAUUGAACUGCAAGAGAUACUGCUACGCUAGAGGACGGGAGAGGUCGACGGUAGUCCAGGGGUAGGGGUGAAAUCCUAUAAUCCUUGGAGGACCACCAGUGGCGAAGGCGGUCGACUAGAACGUGCCUGACGGUGAGGGACGAAAGCUGGGGGAGCGAACCGGAUUAGAUACCCGGGUAGUCCCAGCUGUAAACGAUGCGGGCUAGGUGUAGGGGCAGCUACGAGCUGCUCCUGUGCCGCAGAGAAAUUGUUAAGCCCGCCGCCUGGGGAGUACGAUCGCAAGAUUGAAACUUAA